GCUGUGAACUCGAAGAGUAGGGCGGGACACGUGGUAUCCUGUCUGAAUAUGGGGGGACCAUCCUCCAAGGCUAAAUACUCCUGACUGACCGAUAGUGAACCAGUACCGUGAGGGAAAGGCGAAAAGAACCCCGGCGAGGGGAGUGAAAAAGAACCUGAAACCGUGUACGUACAAGCAGUGGGAGCACCUUCGGGUGUGACUGCGUACCUUUUGUAUAAUGGGUCAGCGACUUAUAUUCUGUAGCAAGGUUAACCGUAUAGGGGAGCCGCAGGGAAACCGAGUCUUAACUGGGCGUUAAGUUGCAGGGUAUAGACCCGAAACCCGGUGAUCUAGCCAUGGGCAGGUUGAAGGUUGGGUAACACUAACUGGAGGACCGAACCGACUAAUGUUGAAAAAUUAGCGGAUGACUUGUGGCUGGGGGUGAAAGGCCAAUCAAACCGGGAGAUAGCUGGUUCUCCCCGAAAGCUAUUUAGGUAGCGCCUCGUGAAUUCAUCUUCGGGGGUAGAGCACUGUUUCGGCUAGGGGGUCAUCCCGACUUACCAACCCGAUGCAAACUACGAAUACCGAAGAAUGUUAUCACGGGAGACACACGGCGGGUGCUAACGUCCGUCGUGAAGAGGGAAACAACCCAGACCGCCAGCUAAGGUCCCAAAGUCAUGGUUAAGUGGGAAACGAUGUGGGAAGGCACAGACAGCCAGGAUGUUGGCUUAGAAGCAGCCAUCAUUUAAAGAAAGCGUAAUAGCUCACUGGUCGAGUCGGCCUGCGCGGAAGAUGUAACGGGGCUAAACCAUGCACCGAAGCUGCGGCAGCGACACUAUGUGUUGUUGGGUAGGGGAGCGUUCUGUAAGCCUGCGAAGGUGACCUGUGAGGGUUGCUGGAGGUAUCAGAAGUGCGAAUGCUGACAUAAGUAACGAUAAAGCGGGUGAAAAGCCCGCUCGCCGGAAGACCAAGGGUUCCUGUCCAACGUUAAUCGGGGCAGGGUGAGUCGACCCCUAAGGCGAGGCCGAAAGGCGUAGUCGAUGGGAAACAGGUUAAUAUUCCUGUACUUGGUGUUACUGCGAAGGGGGGACGGAGAAGGCUAUGUUAGCCGGGCGACGGUUGUCCCGGUUUAAGCAUGUAGGCUGGUUGUCCAGGCAAAUCCGGAUAAUCAAGGCUGAGGUGUGAUGACGAGGCACUACGGUGCUGAAGUAACAAAUGCCCUGCUUCCAGGAAAAGCCUCUAAGCAUCAGGUAACAUCAAAUCGUACCCCAAACCGACACAGGUGGUCAGGUAGAGAAUACCAAGGCGCUUGAGAGAACUCGGGUGAAGGAACUAGGCAAAAUGGUGCCGUAACUUCGGGAGAAGGCACGCUGGUGUGUAGGUGAAGUCCCUGCGGAUGGAGCUGAGACCAGUCGAAGAUACCAGCUGGCUGCAACUGUUUAUUAAAAACACAGCACUGUGCAAACACGAAAGUGGACGUAUACGGUGUGACGCCUGCCCGGUGCCGGAAGGUUAAUUGAUGGGGUUAUCCGUAAGGAGAAGCUCUUGAUCGAAGCCCCGGUAAACGGCGGCCGUAACUAUAACGGUCCUAAGGUAGCGAAAUUCCUUGUCGGGUAAGUUCCGACCUGCACGAAUGGCGUAAUGAUGGCCAGGCUGUCUCCACCCGAGACUCAGUGAAAUUGAACUCGCUGUGAAGAUGCAGUGUACCCGCGGCAAGACGGAAAGACCCCGUGAACCUUUACUAUAGCUUGACACUGAACAUUGAGCCUUGAUGUGUAGGAUAGGUGGGAGGCUUUGAAGCGUGGACGCCAGUCUGCGUGGAGCCAACCUUGAAAUACCACCCUUUAAUGUUUGAUGUUCUAACGUUGGCCCCUUACCGGGGUUGCGGACAGUGUCUGGUGGGUAGUUUGACUGGGGCGGUCUCCUCCCAAAGCGUAACGGAGGAGCACGAAGGUUAGCUAAUCCUGGUCGGACAUCAGGAGGUUAGUGCAAUGGCAUAAGCUAGCUUGACUGCGAGCGUGACGGCGCGAGCAGGUGCGAAAGCAGGUCAUAGUGAUCCGGUGGUUCUGAAUGGAAGGGCCAUCGCUCAACGGAUAAAAGGUACUCCGGGGAUAACAGGCUGAUACCGCCCAAGAGUUCAUAUCGACGGCGGUGUUUGGCACCUCGAUGUCGGCUCAUCACAUCCUGGGGCUGAAGUAGGUCCCAAGGGUAUGGCUGUUCGCCAUUUAAAGUGGUACGCGAGCUGGGUUUAGAACGUCGUGAGACAGUUCGGUCCCUAUCUGCCGUGGGCGCUGGAGAAUUGAGGGGGGCUGCUCCUAGUACGAGAGGACCGGAGUGGACGCAUCACUGGUGUUCGGGUUGUCAUGCCAAUGGCACUGCCCGGUAGCUAAAUGCGGAAGAGAUAAGUGCUGAAAGCAUCUAAGCACGAAACUUGCCCCGAGAUGAGUUCUCCCUGAGACUUUAAGUCUCCUGAAGGAACGUUGAAGACGACGACGUUGAUAGGCCGGGUGUGUAAGCGCAGCGAUGCGUUGAGCUAACCGGUACUAAUGAACCGUGAGGCUUAACCUUACAACGCCGAAG
rnacentral:rRNA from 1 species